rnacentral:lncRNA from 1 species
CAAAUCUACUACACUAAUCCAAAAUAUUAAUAGAGGAAACUGUGGGGAGAGGUUGGGAGGUGAUGUGGGACCUCUUGGUAUUUCCCACUCAACUUUUCUGUAAACGUAAAACUGCCCUCCCAAAAUAGUCUAUUUUUAAAAAAUAAAAGUAGUCAAAAAUCUAAAAGAAAAAAAUUAUAGUAGACAGAGAUAUAUGAUAUCACAAGUAUAGUAAAAUGUUAAUAGUGGUAGUGUAUGUGGAUGUUCCUUAUUAUACUCUGCUUUGUGUUUGACAUUUUUCAUAAUAAAUGUGUAACAAAGUCAUUGUGGGUAAUAUUAAAAGAAAGCUUAGCAUAGUAAGGUUCAGUUGAACCUGUGGGACUUAAUUCUAAUUCCAUUAUGGAUUUCUCAUAUGAUUCUACUAAAAAAUGUAACUUGAUUUAACUACUUGAAUUACUUAUCUAAAUUAUGAAACCCAGUUGGCCCUUGAAAUGCAAAUAGGAGAUCAUUUCCCCUGCCCUUAAGAAAGGUUGGAACAUGACAAACCUUGAAUCAGUCUUGGAAAGAAUCAUGUAAUUACAGGAAAGUGUGAGAAUUCCAGGCCUUACCUCAGACAGAUAAGGACUAGCUAUACAUGAAACGCAGACUGUGGCUAACUUUAAUUCUUUCCCAAAUCAGAUUUUCAUGAGACAUUUUCAGUUCUUUCAGUGAGGCAAAUGAAUUUCUUUAAUAUUUUACAUAUCCAUUGUUAAAAUUCAAUGCAAAAACAACUCUAAUGUCAAAUAUAAAUUAUUUUGUUGUUAAGUUUAAUUUUGAAUAAUCUUCUUCUCUUUUCUUUGGCAUUAGAACAAAUUGCAAUUACUGAAGUCCAAAGAAUUAUAAAGCACUAUUUAAGCAUUUACAUUAGAUAUCAAAAUUGAAGAAUACAAAGACUAGUUUAUUAAUGGAUGCAUUCCUUCUGUCUUGAUUCUUCCCUUGGGGUGGCCUGUCUGCAUGCACAGUGGCCUACUAGCACUUGAGAAGUGAGCAUGCACAGUGGGUUUACUGGAGUUGUACACAUGCUCACUUGAGGCAUUUUUCCCUUACCCGUCCAAUGUUCCUAGAGGAAGCUCAUCCACCAUUUUGCCUCUUAGUGUGCAUAGGUGAGCCCACUCAGCCAACUCCCGAGAUCUUAUGAGGAAGCUGAUAAUCACUAGUUUCAGAUAUUUCUCUCUAUUGGGAGAGUGCCUUUCCCUGGCACUGUCUGUGACCAAUUAUUAUUUUAGAGAGACAGUUAACAGCUGCCUGACCAUCACCUGAUGGUCAUCUGACAUUCCUAGUGCAGGGGGGAUGCCCUCUCCUGCCCUGCUCAUGUCUGACUAGCUACCUACUGUAGCAGCACCACAUCUGGCCAAUUUUUGUAUUUUUUGUAGAGACAGAGUUUCAUCAUGUUGCCCAGGCUGGUCUUGAACUCCUGGACUCAAGUGAUCUGCCUGCCUUAGCCUCCCAAAGUGCUGGGAUUACAGGCAUGAGCCACCUCACCUGGCCUGAGAUGUUUGUGGGGGUUUUGCUUUUGUUUUUGUAAAUUAGAAACAGGGUCUCUCUAUGUUGGCAAGGCUGGUCUUGAACUUCUGGGCUCAAUCAAUCCUCCCACCUCAGCCUCCCGAAGUGUUGGGAUUACAGGCAUGAGCCAUUGCAGCCAGCCUGAAUUCUAAUUCUAAUUGGUAAAAAUUAGGACUGUGCCCUUGCCAUUCCCUUCUUUUAAACUUGUAAUUCAAUUACUUGGCAUGACUGGUCCUUAUAUUAUAAAAUAUACUAAAUCAAAAAUCAUCAUAAUAAAAGCAGCUCCUUGAGCAACUGGACAAAAAAAGCAGCUGGGCAUAAACACUAGUAAAGUUUAAACAAUUGUAUUUGGCAAGUAUUCCCCAACGUAUAAACAAUUACCACUAAAAAAAAUCUGGGUGAAUUCAUACUGAUGAUCAUCUCUCUAACAGUGUUUUCUAACAUCUAAGUACUACUUUUAGCCCUAGAAAAGGAUUUUAAUGUUUAGAAAAGAACAUUUUAAUAAAGCCUUGCUAAUAUUGACAUAUAUAGGCAUCUUAACUUGAUUGAAAUUCUGUCUUCCCAAAGAUGGUUCUAUUUUAACAUUGUAUAUGAAGGAAGAAAUCCUAGCCUAAUAAUUUGAAAUUAUGUUUUUUAUAACAGAAUUCAUUUGCUUUUAUUUUAACAUCAUAAUAAGUGUAUCACUUUGAUCCUUACACAGUAUCUUUUAUCUGUUGUGUAACAAUCAUGCUACUGAAUGUUAGAUAUUACAUGACAUAUGAAGGAAGUUUAACUUGAGCAGUUACUGAGUUCAUCCAGACUUGAAGCCUCUGUUUGUCAAGAAGUUAAUAUUUUUAAAGAUACACUGACUUUAUAAUCUGUAAUUAUUUUCUUAUCAAUUACAUUUUUAUAGUUUUCUGAUUAGCUGGCACUUGGAGCUUAGUGUUACCGUUUAGCUCUGCAGGGUCCUUUUAGACACUAUUAUUGUAAAGAAACAUCAAAAAUCAAAGUGAAUUCUUAGUAUUAUACUUGAAGCAGUAGAGGCGCAAUUGCUGAAACAGCAGCCAAGCAUUGUGCUGUAGAACUAACUCACAGCUUGGUGCCCAGUCCCUGCUGUGCUAAUGAGCUUUAACCUGUUUCAUUCUUACUAUGCUUACUGUUUAGAUACUUUGCUUGCAAAAUUAAUUUUUUAGCUGAGAGAACACAUGAAAGAGGAUAUUUUUUUUUUUUACUAAAAAGCAGAGUUUUUUUUUAUAACUGACAAGAGAAUCUGAGGGCAAGAAUAGUGAACACAGGGAGGAUGGCUGCUAUAUUUAGUGCCUGCGUUUACAUAUGUUGGCACCAAAUGAAUACCUUAACUAAAACAAAGUGAAAAGUUUGCUGAAGCUUCCAGAGGGAGGCAAAGGAGAAAGAAUGUUUAGGUGCUUGCUGGCACUAACACAAAUGUAAACACAGGCAUGAGUAAUGUGACAAUGCCCAAAUAUAAGGCAAUCAUCGAGACACAUCUGUAAAUACUACAAAAUGUUAUUAUUAUUUUAACUCUGAGAUGGGAAAUAGUCCUAUCCCCAUUUUACAAAUGAGAAAAUUGAAAAGUUAAGUGACUGCCCUAAGAGCUCAAAGCCAAUUGGUGGUGGAACCAUAUUUUAAGCCUCAGUUGUCUGGCUAGUAUCAGUGCCCUUAAUCAGUGGGAGUAGUAACU